rnacentral:tRNA from 1 species
AGCGGGUAAGGUGUUUAUGGAUACAUGCAAGCCUUCCAAGUUUGAGUAGACCGGAUCGUUACCGGCUACCCGCUCCAA